rnacentral:rRNA from 1 species
UACGUAGGUGGCGAGCGUUGUCCGGAUUUACUGGGCGUAAAGGGAGCGUAGGUGGACUUUUAAGUGAGAUGUGAAAUACCCGGGCUCAACUUGGGUGCUGCAUUUCAAACUGGAAGUCUAGAGUGCAGGAGAGGAGAAUGGAAUUCCUAGUGUAGCGGUGAAAUGCGUAGAGAUUAGGAAGAACACCAGUGGCGAAGGCGAUUCUCUGGACUGUAACUGACGCUGAGGCUCGAAAGCGUGGGGAGCAAACAGGAUUAGAUACCCG